UAUGGUGUCUGGUGGUUUAAAAACUUUGGACCAUGGUCUAUAGCAUGCUUUGUAUUAGUUGGGUCCUGUUGGCUCAGUGAGAGAUGAAAUUUGGGCUUGCAAGGGCUAGGGGUGCAAGAGGAAUCAAGCGGAAGUUAUUUCACUUAACAUUUUCUGGGUUAGGUGGAAGAAGAGGAACAAAAGGGUUUAUUAGGGGGUAGAUGAUGUUGAUU
rnacentral:lncRNA from 1 species